GAUGAACGCUGACAGAAUGCUUAACACAUGCAAGUCGACUCGAGUCUUCGGACUUGGGUGGCGCACGGGUGAGUAACGCGUAAAGAACUUGCCUCUUAGACCGGGACAACAUCUGGAAACGGAUGCUAAUACCGGAUAUUAUGGUUUUUUCGCAUGGAGGAAUCAUGAAAGCUAGAUGCGCUAAGAGAGAGCUUUGCGUCCCAUUAGCUGGUUGGUGAGGUAACGGCCCACCAAGGCAAUGAUGGGUAGCCGGCCUGAGAGGGUGAACGGCCACAAGGGGGCUGAGACACGGCCCUUACUCCUACGGGAGGCAGCAGUGGGGAAUAUUGGACAAUGGACCGCAAGUCUGAUCCAGCAAUUCUGUGUGCACGAUGACGUUUUUCGGAAUGUAAAGUGCUUUCAGUCGGGAAGAAGUCAGUGACGGUACCGACAGAAGAAGCGACGGCUAAAUACGUGCCAGCAGCCGCGGUAAUACGUAUGUCGCAAGCGUUAUCCGGAUUUAUUGGGCGUAAAGCGCGUCUAGGCGGCAAGGAAAGUCUGAUGUGAAAAUGCGGAGCUCAACUCCGUAUGGCGUUGGAAACUGCCUUACUAGAGUACUGGAGAGGUAGGCGGAACUACAAGUGUAGAGGUGAAAUUCGUAGAUAUUUGUAGGAAUGCCGAUGGGGAAGCCAGCCUACUGGACAGAUACUGAC
rnacentral:rRNA from 1 species